AAAAUACCCUAAACUUCCCCAAAUUAACCCAAAUUCUUGGCCGAUCAUGGAUCGGCCUACCCUGAACCCCAAUCGAUGCCUAAAACAACGGAAUCACACAAAAAAAAUUCAAACCCUAAAUCAACUUCUAAGUGUCAAAUGCACACAAUCACAUAACCAUCGGGUCAGAGAAACACUUAUUUGUCUUGCCAUGAUUGGAUUAAGUUGUAUUCUUC
rnacentral:lncRNA from 1 species